GCGGUGGAUGAUGUGGUUUAAUUCGAUGCAACGCGAAAACCUUACCCACCUUUGACAUGGCAGGAAUCCCGAAGAGAUUUGGAGUGCUCGAAAGAGAGCCGUAACACAGGUGCUGCAUGGCUGUCGUCAGCUCGUGUCGUGAGAUGUUGGGUUAAGUCCCGCAACGAGCGCAACCCUUGUCAUUAGUUGCUACGAAAGGGCACUCUAAUGAGACUGCCGGUGACAAACCGGAGGAAGGUGGGGAUGACGUCAAGUCCUCAUGGCCCUUAUAGGUGGGGCUACACACGUCAUACAAUGGCUGGUACAAAGGGUUGCCAACCCGCGAGGGGGAGCCAAUCCCAUAAAGCCAGUCGUAGUCCGGAUCGCAGUCUGCAACUCGACUGCGUGAAGUCGGAAUCGCUAGUAAUCGUGGAUCAGCAUGUCACGGUGAAUACGUUCCCGGGUCUU
rnacentral:rRNA from 1 species